rnacentral:sRNA from 1 species
UUUUCUCUUUCCUUGCUGAGUAUGUGUGGUGAUAUAGAGUUUGUGUGGUGAGAGCAACAAUGGAGUUUGUGAAGAUUGUGUAGCUUUUGUACUUUACAUCACGGAGAAACCUCUCUAGAUUUUGAUUUUGUGUAGAUUUAGUGCAAAACAACGACAAAAGAGGCGGUGAUGACGUGACACAACUCCAUAAAUCGAAAACCAGUUCUGAUUGAUUUCAUCUUCUUCUUGAAUGAAGCUUUUUUGAUUUUUUUUUGAAUCACUGUUGCCAUUUCAGGCGGUGAGAGAGUUAGCACAUCGUGUUUUGGGUUGAUGUAGGAAGAACGAAGAGAAAUCUCUGGACUUGAAAAAUCAUGGAAUCUUUGCUUUCACAGCCGAUGCUUUGCGUUUAUACUCUAACGCUUU